rnacentral:rRNA from 1 species
UACGAAGGGGGCGAGCGUUGUUCGGAUUUACUGGGCGUAAAGGGCGCGCAGGCGGCCAUUUUUGUCAGACGUGAAAUUCCUGGGCUCAACCUGGGGGCUGCGUUUGAUACGUGCGGACUUGAGUUCGGAAGAGGGUCGUGGAAUUCCCAGUGUAGAGGUGAAAUUCGUAGAUAUUGGGAAGAACACCGGUGGCGAAGGCGGCGACCUGGUCCGAUACUGACGCUGAGGCGCGAAAGCGUGGGGAGCAAACAGG